rnacentral:miRNA from 1 species
UCAACGGGGUAUGUCAAGAAGU